UUUUUCAUUUCACCUCCAUUAGACUGUCUAGAGGCAGCACGACAUGUUUUGUAUGUUUUUUUUAUGUCGAUGACAGCUGCUGGUUCGUCGGAUGUCUUUCAUUCUUUGCUUGGCUCGUUAUUGCUGUAUUAAGAUGUUUGUGUGAGUCGAAUGAAGUUAGCUAGUCGGUCAACACGCCAAAUGAUUCACUCAUGCGAGUUUUUCGUCUUCGGAAAGCCAUGAACGCAGAAGAUGG
rnacentral:misc_RNA from 1 species